rnacentral:rRNA from 1 species
AUUGAACGCUGGCGGCAGGCCUAACACAUGCAAGUCGAACGGUAGCACAGAGAGCUUGCUCUCGGGUGACGAGUGGCGGACGGGUGAGUAAUGUCUGGGAAACUGCCCGAUGGAGGGGGAUAACUACUGGAAACGGUAGCUAAUACCGCAUAACGUCGCAAGACCAAAGUGGGGGACCUUCGGGCCUCACACCAUCGGAUGUGCCCAGAUGGGAUUAGCUAGUAGGUGGGGUAAUGGCUCACCUAGGCGACGAUCCCUAGCUGGUCUGAGAGGAUGACCAGCCACACUGGAACGGAGACACGGUCCAGACUCCUACGGGAGGCAGCAGUGGGGAAUAUUGCACAAUGGGCGCAAGCCUGAUGCAGCCAUGCCGCGUGUAUGAAGAAGGCCUUCGGGUUGUAAAGUACUUUCAGCGGGGAGGAAGGCGGUGAAGUUAAUAACUUCACCGAUUGACGUUACCCGCAGAAGAAGCACCGGCUAACUCCGUGCCAGCCGCCGCCGCGG